ensembl:lncRNA
UUGGGACCCAUAGGGACACAUAGGGACCCAUAGGGACCCACAGAGAGGCAUUGGGACACAUAGGGACCCAUAGGGACACAUAGGGACCCAUAGGGACACAUUGGGACACAUAGGGACACAUAGGGACACAUAGCGACGCCUAUGGGGCACACAGCGCUGACGGGACCCAUAGCGACCCAUAGGGACACAUAGGGACCCACAGAGAGGCAUUGGGACCCAUAGGGACACAUAGGGACACAUAGAGAGCCAUAGGGACACAUAGGGACACAUAGGGACACAUAGAGAGCCAUAGAGACACAUAGAGAGCCAUAGGGACACAUAGAGAGCCAUAGGGACACAUAGGGACACAUAGAGAGCCAUAGGGACCCACAGAGAGGCACUGGGACCCAUAGGGACACAUAGAGACCCAUAGGGACACACAGGGACGCAUAGGGACCCACAGGGACCCAUAGGGACACAUAGGGACACAUAGGGACCCAUAGGGACCCAUAGGGACACAUUGGGACCAUAGGGACACAUAGGGCACAUAGGGGACACAUAGGGACCCAUAGGGACACAUAGAGAGGCAUUGGGACCCAUAGGGACACAUAGGGACACAUAGGGACCCACAGAGAGAGCCAUAGAGAUCCCAUAGAGAGCCAUAGGGACACAUAGGGACACAUAGCGACGCCUAUGGGGCACACAGCGCUGACGGGACCCAUAGCGACCCAUAGGGACACAUAGGGACACAUAGGGACACAUAGAGAG